rnacentral:lncRNA from 1 species
CAACUCAAUCAACCUUUUCUCAAUAAUAAAAAGGAGCUUGGGGUGUGGGGGAAAGGAUCAACCCACACAAAGAACUCACAUACCUUGGUAGGGAUCACCCCCGACGAAAAUCCACGAUGAUCUUGACGGAACUUGUUGAUAUCCUCGAUUUCCUCUUCUUCUUCUCCUCUUCUUCUCUUCUUCUUCUCUUCUUCACUCUCAAGCCCUAGCCUUCACUCUCUUAAAAAUGGAACAAAAUGAUCCAAAGAUCAGCCCUAUACAACAAUACAUCCUCAAAAGAAAUAGCUAGGGAAAAGACCAAAAUGCCCUUAAUGAUUCCCGGACGGAUUUCCUUGUCAACUGCCCAACUUUCAAAGGCCAUAACUCGCUCAUACGAACUCGGAAUUGAGCAAACUCGGUGGCGUUGGAAAGAUCAUUCCACAAGCUUCACAACCAUAACUGGAACUACUCCUAACUCAUCCUGAGCUAGAAGUUAUGACUGCU